rnacentral:rRNA from 1 species
AGAGUUUCGACGUCGUCGCGUACGAGGACGAACGCUGGCGGCGUGCUUAACACAUGCAAGUCGAACGCUGAAGCUCAGCUUUGUUGGGUGGACGAGUGGCGAACGGGUGAGUAACACGUGAGUAACCUGCCCUCUUCUUUGGGAUAACGCCCGGAACGGGUGCUAAUACUGGAUAUUCACUGAUCUUCGCAUGGGGGUUGGUGGAAAGGUUUGUUCUGGUGGGGGAUGGGCUCGCGGCCUAUCAGCUUGUUGGUGGGGUGAUGGCCUACCAAGGCUUUGACGGGUAGCCGGCCUGAGAGGGUGACCGGUCACAUUGGGACUGAGAUACGGCCCAGACUCCUACGGGAGGCAGCAGUGGGGAAUAUUGCACAAUGGGCGAAAGCCUGAUGCAGCGACGCCGCGUGAGGGAUGGAGGCCUUCGGGUUGUAAACCUCUUUCGCUCAUGGUCAAGCCGCGACGUGGGUUGUGGUGAGGGGUAGUGGGUAAAGAAGCGCCGGCUAACUACGUG